rnacentral:rRNA from 1 species
GUGAACGCUGGCGGCAGGCCUAACACAUGCAAGUCGAGCGGCAGCGCGGGGGCAACCCUGGCGGCGAGCGGCGGACGGGUGAGGAAUUCGUCGGAAUCUGCCUUUUUGUAGGGGAUAACGUAGGGAAACUUACGCUAAUACCGCAUACGACCUACGGGUGAAAGUGGGGGACCUUCGGGCCUCACGCAGAAAGAUGAGCCGACGACCGAUUAGCUAGUUGGUAGGGUAAAGGCCUACCAAGGCGACGAUCGGUAGC